GCGCACCAGUCGAGAAAACUUCACAAUGUGCGAAAGCACGAUGAGGGAAUCCCAAGUGCUUGCACGUAAGUGUAAGCUGUUUCUCUGUCUAAAACGCAGAGAGAGUAAGGGCCGGGUAAGACGGGUGCCAGCCGCCGCGGUAAUACCUGCAGCUCGAGUGGUGACCGUUAUUAUUGGGCCUAAAACGUCCGUAGCCGGUUUAAUAAAUGCCUGGGUAAAUCGGACCGCUUAACGGUUCGAAUUCCGGGUAGACUGUUAAACUUGAGACCGGGAGAAGUUAGAGGUACUCCUGGGGUAGAGGUGAAAUUCUGUAAUCCUAGGGGGACCACCAGUGGCGAAGGCGUCUAACUAGAACGGGUCUGACGGUGAGGGACGAAGCCCUGGGGCGCAAACGGGAUUAGAUACCCGCGUAGU
rnacentral:rRNA from 1 species